GACGAACGCUGGCGGCGUGCCUAAUACAUGCAAGUAGAACGCUGAAGGAGGAGCUUGCUUCUCCGGAUGAGUUGCGAACGGGUGAGUAACGCGUAGGUAACCUGCCUGGUAGCGGGGGAUAACUAUUGGAAACGAUAGCUAAUACCGCAUAACAGUAGAUGUUGCAUGACAUUUGCUUAAAAGGUGCAAUUGCAUCACUACCAGAUGGACCUGCGUUGUAUUAGCUAGUUGGUGAGGUAACGGCUCACCAAGGCGACGAUACAUAGCCGACCUGAGAGGGGGAUCGGCCACACUGGGACUGGGACACGGCCCAGACUCCUACGGGAGGCAGCAGUAGGGAAUCUUCGGCAAUGGACGGAAGUCUGACCGAGCAACGCCGCGUGAGUGCAGAAGGUUUUCGGAUCGUAAAGCUCUGUUGUAAGAGAAGAACGAGUGUGAGAGUGGAAAGUUCACACUGUGACGGUAUCUUACCAGAAAGGGACGGCUAACUACGUG
rnacentral:rRNA from 1 species